AAGCAAUACACCAGUGAGUUAAAGAUGAUAAUAAUGCUCUCCUAUAUAAGAAAUAAUGAGAUUUCUUAUAUUUGACUGGAGCACAUACUAAACUAGCCCAUGUCCCAGAAUACAGAGCAGACUAGAACUCAACACACAAGGCAAGGAGGGGGGAGAAGCAAGCAGAAGAAUAAAGAAAGAUGAUGGAGGGGAGAGAAUUAAUUUGGAUGCCAAAGGAGAGAAUGAUCCUAAAGGAAGUCAGAAAGCCGUUCCAAGUAAGAUGUGUCUGGAGAUUCCCGUGUAAGUCUGCAAUAUGUGCUUUUGUUGUAAUGAGCCUGUCAGUGACAAGCUGGCUCCCUCCAGAUAUUUUUAUUUGUUCUUCUUUCAUCAUCUUUUGCCUGAAAGCAUCCCUGCUCCCUUAUAUAGAGAGGCUCCAUUGUUGAUUCCCAUUAGGGUGCUUUAUCACUUCCACUCCACUUCCACUCCUAAGACGGAUUGAACAUGGGUUUUAAUAUACUUUCAUUAUGCUUAUGUGAAAAUGCCCUGGGUGUGCUAUAUAAAUAUUGUCAUCCCCAUUUUAUUUGGUAAAAUUUCAGGCUGAAAACACUAGUUAAAUAAUCCUGGGUGACUCAAAUGGGCCCAAACCACAUGAGUGCCUGCCACUUGUCACAAACAGCGAACCUUAAUUCAGGGUCCCGGCAUCAGCAACAUUGUCAGGGUAAGGGAGGCAGUGGAUUACCUUUGAAGCCUGACUCCAUGUGUCCGUACUUGGUUGUAAACACCACUGAGUUAAAAGUGAUGUGGGUGGCGCUGUGGUCUAAACCACUGAGUCUCUUGAGCUUGCCGAUCAGAAGGUUGGCGGUUUGAAUCCCUGUGACGGGGUGAGCUCCCGUUGCUCUGUCGCAGCUCCUGCAAACCUAGCAGUUCGAAAGCAUACCAGUGCAAGUAGAUAAAUAGGUACCACUGUGGUGGGAAGGUUCUUUUGUGGUUUAGUCAUACUGGCCACAUGACCACAUGACCCAGAAAGCUGUCUGUGGACAAAUGCCAGAUCCCUUGGCCUGAAAGUGAGAUGAGCACCGCAACCCCAUAGUUGCCUCUGACUGGACUUAACCAUCCAGGGGCUCUUUACCUUUACCUUACUCCCCCAAAUAAGUAUUCAGAAGUAUUCAUUAUUCCCCCAAGUAAGUAUUCAGAAGACUGCCACCUAAAUUCUCAUUCCCUUCCAUUCUCCUUACAGUUCCCCAAAAGAAGCAGCAUUCAUUCCAUGCCAAUGGCCAGCAGGACAGUGCAAGGCACUUAGAUAUUGUGGCUCCAUCUCUCUUUUCUCUUGUCACUGCUUCCAUGCUUGGACAGGGCAGGUGAGCAGGUAGUGACAGCAAAGAAGAGGAGCAGGGCCAGGAGACUCUGGAAGUCAGCAAUGGGAUCCAUGCAGGUCUGUGGGCAUCAGCAAACGCCCAAAAAUGUCAUAUUCUUAAUGCCAGACUGAGUAGAAAUCUUCUUUUUCUUUGGCGAUCACUCGUAGCUGAAUAAGAUUGUCUUCCAUAAACAGGGUAUUAACAAUGAGUCCGUAAGUGACUAUGGAGGCCAGUUCUGGACCUAAACGUCCUUCCACAGUGGGGACAUUGGUUUCCAGGCGGGAGUUGAUCAUGGUGUGGAUUUGCCAAGCGU
rnacentral:lncRNA from 1 species